UACAGAGGGGGCGAGCGUUGUUCGGAAUUACUGGGCGUAAAGGGCGCGUAGGCGGCGUGCUAAGUCGAACGUGAAAUCCCCGGGCUCAACCCGGGAACUGCGUCCGAGACUGGCAUGCUUGAAUCCGGGAGAGGGAUGUGGAAUUCCAGGUGUAGCGGUGAAAUGCGUAGAUAUCUGGAGGAACAUCGGUGGCGAAGGCGGCAUCCUGGACCGGUAUUGACGCUGAGGCGCGAAAGCCAGGGGAGCAAACGGG
rnacentral:rRNA from 1 species